rnacentral:rRNA from 1 species
CAGCCGCCGCGGUAAUACAGAGGGUGCGAGCGUUAAUCGGAUUUACUGGGCGUAAAGCGUGCGUAGGCGGCUUUUUAAGUCGGAUGUGAAAUCCCUGAGCUUAACUUAGGAAUUGCAUUCGAUACUGGGAAGCUAGAGUAUGGGAGAGGAUGGUAGAAUUCCAGUUGUAGCGGUGAAAUGCGUAGAGAUCUGGAGGAAUACCGAUGGCGAAGGCAGCCAUCUGGCCUAAUACUGACGCUGAGGUACGAAAGCAUGGGGAGCAAACAGGAUUAGAUACCCCCGUAGUCCCUGUCUCUUAUAA